CUACGGGAGGCAGCCGUGGGGAAUUUUCCGCAAUGGAGGAAAGUCUGACGAGAGCACCGCCGCGUGAAUGAUGACGGCCUUCGGGUUGUAAAGCUCUGUUCAUCGGGACGAAAGGCCUUCUUGUAAAUAGCUGUAGAAGGAUGUGACGGUACCGGAAUAGAAACGCCACGGCAUAAUUACGUGCCAGCAGCCCGCGGAUA
rnacentral:rRNA from 1 species